GAUGAACGCUGGCGGCGUGCCUAAUACAUGCAAGUCGAGCGGACAGACGAGGAGCUUUCUCCUCUGACGUUAGCGGCGGACGGGUGAGUAACAAGUGGAUAACCAUCCUAUAAGUCUUGGAGAACUUCGGGAAAACGGAGCUAAUACCGGAGAAUAUAUUGAACCGCAUGGUUCAAUAGUGAAAGAAGGGUUUGCUGUCACUUUUAGAUUGAUCCGCGCCGCAUUAGCUAGUUGGUUAGGUAACGGCUUACCAAGGCAACGAGGCGUAGCCGACCUGAGAGGGUGAUCGGCCACACUGGAACUGAGACACGGUCCAGACUCCUACGGGAGGCAGCAGUAGGGAAUCUUCCGCAAUGGGCGAAAGCCUGACGGAGCAACGCCGCGUGAGUGAUGAAGGUCUUCGGAUCGUAAAACUCUGUUAUUAGGGAAGAACAAAUGUGUAAGUAACUAUGCACGUCUUGACGGUACCUAAUCAGAAAGCCACGGCUAACUACGUG
rnacentral:rRNA from 1 species